rnacentral:tRNA from 1 species
CAGGGAGACAACAAAAUGUUAAAUAUUAUUAUUUUGUCACCUUAGGUCGAUCGGUAUCUCACGUUCUUAAUUUAUUGAGAAUUUCAUUUCCUAAGUUUUUCUAGGUCACACCCAUUAUUUUUCCUGGGCCAUUAGCUCAGGUGGUUAGAGCGCACCCCUGAUAAGGGUGAGGUCCCUGGUUCAAGUCCAGGAUGGCCCAUAUCUCUAUGUUGGGGGUAUAGCUCAGUUGGUAGAGCGCCUGCUUUGCAAGCAGGAUGUCAGCGGUUCGAGUCCGCUUACCUCCACUGAUUACCACCUCUUCCAUAACGGGUAUAAAGGAAAUGUUUUGAGUAGUGAUCAAAUUCUGAAAGAAUCUAGCUUCCUAAUGAGAUCAUUAAGAUGCUGGACUCAUUGAAUUAAUUUCAUUGUUUUCAGAGAACCUUGACAACUGCAUAGAUUAUUUUUAAAGACAAUAAGCAUCUUUAAUGAUGCAGAUUUAUUAUUUGUGCGAAUGCAUUAAUAACAAUUCUAUUAAGCUGAUGCUUCAAUUUUUGAAGUUAUU